rnacentral:rRNA from 1 species
CCUACGGGUGGCAGCAGUGAGGAAUAUUGGUCAAUGGGCGGGCGCCUGAACCAGCCAAGUCGCGUGAGGGAAGAAGGUACUGAGUAUUGUAAACCUCUUUUGUCGGGGAGCAAAAGCCGGACGUGUCCGGCUGUGAGAGUACCCGAAGAAAAAGCAUCGGCUAACUCCGUGCCAGCAGCCGCGGUAAUACGGAGGAUGCGAGAGUUAUCCGGAUUUAUUGGGUUUAAAGGGUGCGCAGGCGGAUUUUUAAGUCAGCGGUCAAAUCGUGGGGCUCAACCCCAUCCAGCCGUUGAAACUGGGGAUCUAGAGUGUGCGAGAGGUAUGCGGAAUGCGUGGUGUAGCGGUGAAAUGCAUAGAUAUCACGCAGAACCCCGAUUGCGAAGGCAGCAUACCGGUGCACAACUGACGCUCAGGCACGAAAGCGUGGGUAUCGAACAGGAUUAGAUACCCGUGUAGUC